AAUGGGAUUCCUUAAGUAAUUGCGAAUGAACAAGGAAAUGCUCAGCUUGAAAAAUGGGGCCUUUGGCUUUGAAUUGUAAUUUUGAAAUGUAUUGCCAAUGGAGGCGCAGGUGCAAGCCUAUUGAAAGAAAGCGUCAAUGAGGGUGAGAUUCCUUUUUGUCAUUUGCAGUCCUCCGUGCACGGUAUAUAUUUGACGAGUCACACUCCUCGGCAUUGGAAUGCAAAGUGGGUGGUAAAUUCCAUGUAAAGGUAAAUAUAUUAUUGAGACUGAUAGCAAACAAGUACCAUGAGGGAAAUAUGAAAAGGACUUUGAAAAGAGAAUUAAAAGAGUCUGCAUUUGCUGAACAGAAAGCAAACAGAAUUGAUUUUACUUGGUGAGAUUGUUGUGCUUACUCUAUCAUUUAUAUGGUUGAUGUGGGUGCGAUGGUUCUUACCUUGAAUGUCAGCUUCUAUUUCUGCAAAUCAUUACCCUUGCACAUGAAUGGUAACUUGCCUGCGGGUAUUGGAAUGCAUGUGUUUGCAAUGAUUUGUGAUUUGACGCAUGUGUUUGGUGAAAUUUGUAUAUGCUCUUUUGUCGAAGGGGAAAGCUUACUUUUUUGAGCAUUGCAAGCCCUUACACAUCAGUGCUGGCAAAAUGUUUCUGCUUGACCCGUCUUGAAACACGGACCAAGGAGUCUAACAGAUGUGCAAGUUCGUGGGUGGCAAACCUUUUUGCGCAAUGAAAGUAUUGGCUGGGAUACUUGCACCAGCAGCCGACCAAUUAGCAGACAGAGGUUUGAGUUUGAGCAUAUCUAUUAGGACCCGAAAGAUGGUGAACUAUGCCUGAACAGAAUGAAUUCAGAGGAAACUCUGAUGGAGGUUCGUAUCGAUACUGACGUGCAAAUCGUUCGUCAUACUUGGGUAUAGGGGCGAAAGACUAAUCGAACCAUCUAGUAGCUGGUUCCCUCCGAAGUUUCCCUCAGGAUAGCUGGAGUUGCACAGUUUUAUCAGGUAAAGCGAAUGAUUAGAGGAAUUGGGGACACGCUGUCCUUGACCUAUUCUCAAACUUUAAAUGGGUAAGAUGCAAUGGUUGCUUUAUUGAACUUUUGGAAUAAAUGGCAAUAUCAGGUGGGCCAUUUUUGGUAAGCAGAACUGGCGAUGAGGGAUGAACCUAACGUUGGGUUAAGGUGCUUAAUUGCUUGCUCAUUAGAUACCAGAAAGGGUGUUGGUUCAUUUUAACAGCAGGACGGUGGUCAUGGAAGUCGAAAUCCGCUAAGGAGUGUGUAACAACUCACCUGCCGAAUGGACUAGCCCCGAAAAUGGAUGGCGCUCAAGCGGGUGACCGAUACCCAACCACUGUUGCAAAUAGUGUCAGUGUGUAGGAGGGCAUGG
rnacentral:rRNA from 1 species